AAACCGCUCUUCCCCGAAUGACCCCACUGUCCCCUCCGAUCGUACCCUCAUCACCCUCAAAUCUCUCUCUCUCUCUCUCUCUCUCUCUCUCUCGAUCGCCAUGGCUGACGAUGCCGUCGUCGAGAAGAUCUCCAUCUCCGGUCCCACCCUCGCCUCCAUCAUCCAUCGCUUCACGUCCUCUCCCGGCGACGUCGACGGUCUCCUCUUCGGCCACGUCGCCCGCCUCCCCCCUCCUGAUCUCCACGACGACGACCCCUCCGCCGCCACCUCCGCCGCCGCCAGCCAGUCCCCUCUCUCUGCCACCGUCACCGGCAUCUUCUGCUCCGGCUCCCCCAUGGGCUUCUACGACGCCCUCGGCCGCCUCGACCUGCCUGCCCUCCGCCGCGCCUUCGCCGCCGCCGACCACCGCCCCCCCGGCUUCGCCCUCCUCGGAUGGUUCUCUGGGCGCCGACGCUCCCCCGUCCACCCCUCCAUGCGCGAGUUCGCCGUCUCCUUCUCCCUCUCCAAAUACCCAACCCUAACCCUAGACGACCGCCCCGGCUCUGCCCAUCCCGAUCUCCCUCCGAAGCCCUGCAUCUUCCUCCUCCUCGCCUCCUCGCCAUCUCCGAACCACGCGGUCCACACCCACGAGUACCGGGCCUUCGUGUUCCGGUCGACGGCCGCUGGCAGCGGCGCCCUCGAGCCGAGAUCGCUGGACGUCAUCAACGUAGGCCCUGCCUUCCGGGGGCAGUACAGCUCCUUCUCGCCGGCGUCGGCGUUCCCGUGGAUGCCGUGCUGGCCGAGGGGCAUCGAGGAGGGGGAGAGAGAGAGGGGGAGCAAGAAAGGGGAGAGCCUCCGGGAGGCGGAGAGGGAGCUGCGGCUGCUGGAGUCCUCUGCGGAGGGAUUCGGCCUAGAGAGAUUGGAGCGGCUGGUGGGGCCAGGGGCGGCAGAGUACACCUCCGAGUUGGAGGACUUGUAUACGAAGAUGCUGCUCAAGCUGGAGGGCUUGGCGAGGCUUGUGGAGAAGAGCUCAGCUAGGGUUCUUGAGCAGGAAAACCGAAAUUCAUUAUUGCGAAACAAGUUAGCCGGGAUGGAAUGAAAUUUGUGUCAUUUGAAGUCCUUGUGUCUCAACCUGGUUUGAAACCAAGUCCAAACUGAAAUGGACCAAGUCCACCACUGUUAGACUUAAGUUCACUUAUUUAACUAUGGCCAUUUUUUAUGGUAUUGGGUUAUCUUGUGAGCUCAAGUACUGAGUAGGGGUUCCGCUCACAAGUCAAGAGGUGUUAUACAUAUAUGCAUUGGCUGGGUACGUGCCGGUUGAACUUUCCCGCCUAUGGUAGCAUGAUAGCUAGUGCAUUAAUGUUCCAAACGAAGGCUGGUUGCUUUGAAUCAAUGCCAAGGGUGGAUAGAAGCACCAUGGAUGAGGUGAAGAGACUAGGAAAUGCUGUGAUGAUUUUGUUGCCUUGAAUUGUUUACGGAAAAUUUCAUGUCUAUUAUAAGAUUUAGCUCACUUGUGUUUAUGAAGGAUGGGGGGGAGUGACAAUGCGGUGGAUAGCAAUCUUGGUAGAUUUGGACUUAAAAAGAGAAAUAACUCGUUGGGUUCUAUGUAUAUUGUGAAGAAAUUUGCUUCUCUGAAAAUUCAGAAAUAUUGCCAUCCGCGAGGUUGCAAGGUGUUGCUGCUUUUGUUUCUUC